CAGCUGAUAUGUGCACUUAAUAAACGUCACUCCAUUUAACUACCGUUCUGUAUCGAUCACAAGAUAAUGCUACACAAUGCACAAUUCAAGCUAAACUAUGGAGAUAAAGAUAGGUUUAGGAGGCUUCUCUAAGAGACUUUUGGAAACCCUUAACUGCACUUACAGCAUCAGAGAGCUCGUAAAGGUUUCAAAGGCUUCAAUUAAUUGAAGCCUUUAAGUGCUCUUGAACCCUUUGGAUCUUUGCGUAGUAGACCUCGGCAUUUAUUUACCGCGUAGUUAAUAACUUUUGCCUAGAAAAUUGAGAUGCGGCUGCCGAGGAAGCCUAGGAAAUCGAAAUUUAAAAAUAAAUCAGUAAGGCAUGGAGAGCAGGUAUCUCAUGGGGAAGUCAAGCAAGUAGAAUAAGUCUAGGAAGUUCAACAGUUCGAAAAAGUAGAAGAAACCGAAGCAGGCAAAGUGAAAUUGAAACCGGAAACUGGAAGUAGAAGCGAAAACGUAAAAGCGAAACCAAAGAUUGGUAUUUGGUAACCUGGAAAUGGAAACCUUAGCAUGAAGAAAAGGCAUGAAGAAAUUGAGAACCGGAAACCGGAAACGAGAAACCGCAACGUGGAAAACUGGAAGCGGGGAAGGCUUAAUUAGCCUUUAAAAGUGUCAUAGCAUUAAAAAAACCCUCUAGUGUUCUAGAAGAGUUUUUCAUGAACCCAGAAGAUUCUAGCAGCACUCAACAAGCUAAAGGACCUAGGUAGAGCAUUUCAGCUGCGCCGCAGGUGCCAUAGGAGGGUAUUAGCUUUUAAAAAUUUUAUGGCGCAUUGCGCAGUCCAAAAGGCAUCCGUCGGAACAGGUAACAAGUUUCGCCCGAAGUUGUAAACAUGGUCGAUUGUUGACAACAUCUUAACCUUGACAGAGAUGAGUAAGGUACGAUCCAAAAGGUCUCCAGCAUUCUCUUCUCGAACAAAAUCCCAAAACGUCAAAAUUGUGAAAGUGCAGUUCACAUUAACAGCAAAAUAAGACUCAGGUCGCCGUUAAAGCAUCGUAAGGUCAAAGUCGUUAUAAUUUGCUGACUAAUUUCAGCGACCAUUAAAUUAUUCCAAAAAAUGCGGCGAUUUAACAAAUUGAAGUUAUUGUAGGAACAAUAAUCUUGCCAUGACAUUUUUGAGCUAUUAAUACUUUUCCAUUCGGUCGUCUCUUUUCAUACUCUUCUCACCGUUUUCUGGUAAUCCCCAUUUGCUGUUUUCGCACUCCCUCUACAGCUAUUCUCUCCGUUUCUUCUCAUUUACUAACGUCCUAUGUUCAAAUACCCCCCUCCCCCCAAUUCCUCUGCUCCCUAUUUUGCCCUUCUGUUGAUCCACCUUCUCCAUCCCAUGACGUUUAAUUCGCCUUAUUUUUCCCCUAAGGUUUAUUUGUUCUUUUUUUAUUGCUGUUACUCCUCUCCUCCUCUCCUCUGUUAUUCCUAUUCUCUUCUUCUGUUUUUUGCUUCUCUUCUAUUCUUACUCUACAGGUCCGACGUAUUUACAAUUUAGACAAAGCGAACUGAUGAAUCAUUAAAUUCGCCAUUGUGAAGAGAUACAAGAAGAAGAACUCGCCCCUCUGUCCCCUCUCCCCUGAUGUAGUCGUGUGGAGCGCCUACGAGUCCAUGAGUCACGCUCUUCUACGAAAAGAUCGGCGUCGACCCGAAAGUAAUCGAUGGAUGGCGAUGGCUCCGCAGCUCAAAGG